rnacentral:lncRNA from 1 species
CCGAAACCGGUAACUCGCGGCGUAGGUGAAACCGAUCUGGCGCGUGCGGCUGUGCUUGCAGGGAUGCUCGGUGGCUCCUCAUCAAAACGGCAAGGGGUGUGUGUGUGUGGACAUCUGUAGGGUUGCGCUCUGGGUCCGAGAGCGUUAAUGUAUUUUUGCUGUUGGAAGAUGGAAUGGAGCGUGUGCCUGUUCAGUGUCAGGGCAGUCAAAAGCCAGGAGGGACCUUGAGUGGGUUUGGUGGCACAACUGCGGUUUUAAAAGAUCUUGACCGUUUGGAGCUACGGCCUGGAAAAAAUCAUUCCUUUUUUGUAGCAAGGGAGUUCGCAAGGACAGAUGUGUUGCUGUGCUCUUAAUAGAAAUAUUUGUGACAUAUAGGGUGAGGAAGUCUUGGCUAUACUUAGGCUUGAGAAAAUGUAUGUAGAUACCUAUGUCUGUCUUCUGCAUGUAUCUAAGAAAGUGAGUUGUAGUGAAACUAAACCUGCUAAUGAGUGAAUAAGAGAAAAAAAAAAAAAAAAAAGGCACGGUUGCCUAAAAAAUGCAAAAGCUCUAGUGGCCUGUGUCAACAACUGUACCGAAGGUGAUGCAAAAAUACUUUUUGCUCUGCUCCGUUGUACUGUCUUCACAAACCUUCACAAAAAAAGGCAGGUUUGGUUUCCUACCCAGCUUUAUGCUAACGGGUCUUUUCUUCUCUCAGCUGGAUGUCAGCUGGCACCGUGUUGCCGUGCUUGCCCUUUCUUUUGCCAUGACAAUACGAGACAGAUGGAAAGAAUCCAUAGUGGUCUGCAAGUACAAGGAGUACUCGACAACCUUACUGAGAUAACUAGCAUCUGUGCUAAAAGCAAUCGAGGUCAAAGAAGAGACGUGGACAAAACAGGACAAAUUGGCGUCACAUCUGUGUGUUUUCCAGGCUUUCCCAGGAAGCACUAGCAGCCUUGUAACUAGUGGCAGUGAGUCCUGAUUGUUUUUGAUGAGUUACUGCUUCAGUAAUGUAUUUUUUCCUUUAACCUACAGCGUGUAAUUUUGACUUCAGUUGGAAAGAGAUUUUCCAAAAUGGAAGUCUUUGUCACUCAAAGAAAUUUUGUUUUAUGAGCUUCCCAUCAGAGUGGAUCUUCAGAGGUGAUCGACUUGACAGUAGAAGUCAUCAGUAACAAGACUUUUCACUCUCUUUAAACAAAUGAGGGAAAAAAAAAAAAAAAAAAAAAAGUCAAUUUCCUUCCAAAGACCCAAGCACAGCCCAUCUUCCUAAAGUUGAUGGCAUCACUGGUCUUUGGUUUCUCAGUUGUAACAGUCACGACAACAUGAAAAUGUGUUGCUCUGCAUGCUUCAGUACUGCCCAAAGCAUUAGGAAAUCCGCCAGUCCUUUUUGGUAGUCUGAGGUAUUGCAGCACUGGGGAUUUUACAAAUUGACUUGCAUUGUUUAAACUGUAACUGCCAAAUAGCUGUAGUAUAUAAUUUAUUAGGUGUACGUAAGCAGUUAACAUUUAGAAAAAUACCUUAAAAAGAGAGGCAACUGAAUGUUAUGGGUUUUCUUUCCUGACGUUUUGACGGAGUGCUCUGAAGUACUUUCUUUCUGUCUGGUUUUCAAUGGUGUGUUUCCCUGGCAGUUCAGUAGCACCUCACUUGGGCAGCGCAGCUGGCCAGCUGUUCCUCCUCAUUACGUAACACACACAAAAACCCCUAGUCACAUUAUAACUGUGUACUUUGGAGAUAGAUAAUUUAAUGGUAUGAGUUCAGAGCUGUGCAAGUUAAGGUAAUGGAAAAGGAAAAUCAAAUUACACUAUACAUUUAUAGUAUAAGUAUUUUUAUUGGAUGUAUAUAAACAUGGGCACACCUUUUUAGUGUAAAGUGAACUAUUGAGAUUUAUGCUAUAUUUUUCAUUUUGCUCUUUGAAGUUUUCCACUUCACUUUCAGCUUUAUUCACCAAACAAGCAAGAUGCAAAGCAGCAGCAGCAGCAGCAGCGCAAGGGCUGUAGCUGUUGCGGUGGAUCCGUAAGCGUAGAUUCUGAUUGUGUACAACCUCAUCCCGCAGCCUCCCAGGGUUAUCUCCCUGCAGCAGUGCUGUAAGGAAGGGAGGAGAUGUUUUCCAACCCCUGCAAGAGUGUUUACUUGUAUGCUAAGAAGGCGUUCAAAAUGGUAUCAAUUAGCCUAAAUGCUGAUUUUAAGUGUUCAAAUCGCUCUUAACUUUCAAAGGAGGUGGUGUAUUUCGAGCUGACCUGUUUACCUGGAAUCCUCCUUUAGCUCAGCGACUCUCCUUGUGCACCCCCAGCCUCCGCUGGCAGGGCGGUAUGAGAAGCUUGAAGGUCCUUGACUUGUUGCUAAGCAGGGUUUAUACUAACUAAAGCGUCGGUGUGUUGUCAACGUUAUUCUCGUCCUAAAUCCAAAAUGGCCCUGUACCAGCUACUCGGAAGAAAAUUAACUUUAUUCCAGCCAAAACCAGGACAACCCCAACCCCCCUGAUUCUGGGUCUGCAACAGGGGAAAAAAAACAAACGAAUUUGGGAUUCCUGGGAAAGCCAAAUCCGCCUGGAUCUGUGCAGCUGGAAAGCAAAAACCCCACCCCAUUUUCAUGCACAAAACCACAACCAAAAGAUCACCCCUUUUUAUGUUGUGGAAAAGCACUGAAACACACCCCAAACUGAGUAUUUUGAAAAAGCCAAAAACUCACCAGUUUGGGGAAGAUUGGGGGUGAAGCACAGGCAGUUUGAGGUGCAUUGCUGGGGGUCCUUCCAGUGUGGAUGAUCUGGUGUGGAUUCUCUGUUGCGGGUUAUCCCAGGUGAGUUACCUGCUGUGGAUCAUCCCGGGUGGACUCCCUGGGGUAGGUCAUCCCCGCCCGUGUUCCCCCAUCCACCUUUGUACCCUCACCUAUCCUCCCCCCGUGUGUGUUUCUCCCCCAUGUGCCCCCCGUUGCUCCAGCCCGCCCCCUUCACCCACGCGAGUUUUUAACCCGUGCGAGUUGUUUCCCCCCCUGCGUGCCCUGCUCUCCUAUCUCCUGCCCCCGCCCCCCCCCCCCCCCCUUUCCCUCCUCCAUAUGCCAGCCCCCCCCCCAUCAUCUGUCAGGCUCCAGACCCCUGGCAUGCUGCCUGCACCCCAUUCUCUGUCAUUUUUUUUUUCUUUUCCUUACAAGUUGUUGUUGUUGUUGUUUCUUUUUAAUUAUUAAACUGUUUUCGUUUCCAGCCACAAAUUUUCUCACUUUCGCCCUUCCGAUUGUCUCCCCAUCCCACUGGGGGCGGGGGAGCGAGUGAGCAGUCGCGUGGGGCUUCGUUGCCGGCUGGCGUUAGACCACGACACGAGGUGAGUCGCAAGCCCUGCCUGGCUAAUGCUGGAGGCUCUCUGCGUUCCUCCUGCCAUCUUGACGGGCCGUCCUUGUUCUUCAUUGCCGCUUUAUAGCGAGCGCCUCUUGCUCCGUAAGCAGCAGUACUUGGGCCACGUUGCAGGCAGCAAAGGGCAAUUGUGACACUUGCUGGCGAGAGCAGCAAGGAGUGCGGAGCUGCGAUCCUGUAGGGAGCAAAGAUGGAACCUCGAGGGCUCUGCGGUCAUCUGCCGA